CCUAGCUUGGUGUAAUGGUAGCACAUCUGUAGUCACCAGGAAACUGGCCCUUCGGGGGGAGAAGGUCUGGGUUCGAAUCCUGGAGCUAGGA